UGGGGAAUAUUGGGCAAUGGGCGAAAGCCUGACCCAGCAACGCCGCGUGAAGGAAGAAGGUUUUCGGAUUGUAAACUUCUGUUAUAAGGGAAAAAGAAAAGAUGGUACCUUAUGAGAAAGCCACGGCAAACUAUGUGCCAGCAGCCGCGGUAAUACAUAGGUGGCAAGCGUUGUCCGGAAUAACUGGGCGUAAAGAGAGCGUAGGCGGUAGAGCAAGUCAAUUGUGAAAGCCCGUAGCUUAACUACGGAAAUGCGAUUGAAACUGCCCAACUAGAGUUCGGGAGAGGAAAGUGGAAUUCCUAGUGUAGCGGUAAAAUGCGUAGAUAUUAGGAGGAACAUCAGAGGCGAAGGCGACUUUCUGGAACGAAACUGACGCUGAGGUUCGAAAGUAUGGGGAGCAAACAGG
rnacentral:rRNA from 1 species